rnacentral:rRNA from 1 species
UUCGGAUGCUGACGAGUGGCGAACGGGUGAGUAAUACAUCGGAACGUGCCUAGUGUGGGGGAUAACUACUCGAAAGAGUGGCUAAUACCGCAUGACAUCUACGGAUGAAAGCAGGGGAUCGCAAGACCUUGUGCUACUAUAGCGGCUGAUGGCAGAUUAGGUACUUGGUGGGAUAAAAGCUUACCAAGCCGACGAUCUGUAGCUGGUCUGAGAGGACGAUCAGCCACACUGGGACUGAGACACGGCCCAGACUCCUACGGGAGGCAGCAGUGGGGAAUUUUGGACAAUGGGCGAAAGCCUGAUCCAGCAAUGCCGCGUGCAGGAUGAAGGCCUUCGGGUUGUAAACUGCUUUUGUACGGAACGAAAAGCUUCGGGUUAAUACCCUGGAGCCAUGACGGUACCGUAAGAAUAAGCACCGGCUAACUACGUGCCAGCAGCCGCGGUAAUACGUAGGGUGCAAGCGUUAAUCGGAAUUACUGGGCGUAAAGCGUGCGCAGGCGGUUUUGUAAGACAGAGGUGAAAUCCCCGGGCUCAACCUGGGAACUGCCUUUGUGACUGCGAGGCUAGAAUACGGCAGAGGGGGAUGGAAUUCCGCGUGUACCAAUGUAAUGCGUAAAUAUGCAGAGGAACACCGAUGGCGAAGGCAAUCCCCUGGGCCUGUACUGACGCUCAUGC